AUGUCCAUGGCAACUCAAACCUCCCUCUUCACCCCACCUCUCUCCAUUCCAAAACCAAUGACCAUAUCUCUGCACCAUGGAAACAACCCCCUACCUCAUCUUUCACCAACCCCAAGCCUCUCAAUCUCACAAUUUCAAGAAACAUCAGAACAUCCGCAACUGAGAAAGCAGCAGAACCACCACCACCAAAGGAAGAAGCACCAGCUGGCUUCACCCCACCUGAGCUAG